rnacentral:rRNA from 1 species
AAUGCCCUACGGGAGGCAGCAGUGAGGAAUAUUGGUCAAUGGCCGGAAGGCUGAACCAGCCAAGUCGCGUGAGGGAAUAAGGCCCUAUGGGUCGUAAACCUCUUUUGUCAGGGAGCAAAGGCGUCCACGUGUGGACGAGAGGAGAGUACCUGAAGACAAAGCAUCGGCUAACUCCGUGCCAGCAGCCGCGGUAAUACGGAGGAUGCGAGCGUUAUCCGGAUUUAUUGGGUUUAAAGGGUGCGUAGGCGGAGGGUCAAGUCAGCGGUACAAUUUCGGGGCUCAACCCCGUAGUGCCGUUGAA